ACUUACGGCCAUUACCAUCCUGGCUAUAACCCGAUCUCGUCUGAUCUUGGAGCUAAGCAGGUUUGGGCCUGGUUAGUACUUGGAUGGGAGACCGCCUGGGAAUAUCAGGUGCUGUAAGCU
rnacentral:rRNA from 1 species